UCCGGCUUAUCACCGGCAGUACCAUUAGAGUGCCCAACUUAAUGAUGGCAACUAAUGGCGAGGGUUGCGCUCGUUGCGGGACUUAACCCAACAUCUCACGACACGAGCUGACGACAGCCAUGCAGCACCUGUCACCGGUCCAGCCGAACUGAAGGGGUCCGUCUCUGGACCCCGCGACCGGGAUGUCAAGGGCUGGUAAGGUUCUUCGCGUUGCCUCGAAUUAAACCACAUGCUCCACCGCUUGUGCGGGCCCCCGUCAAUUCCUUUGAGUUUCAGCCUUGCGGCCGUACUCCCCAGGCGGGGCACUUACUGCGUUAGCGACGGCACUCAGAGGGUCGCUCCCCCAAGCACCUAGUGCCCAUCGUUUACGGCGUGGACUAC
rnacentral:misc_RNA from 1 species